rnacentral:rRNA from 1 species
AGCAGCCGCGGUAAUUCCAGCUCCAAUAGCGUAUAUUAAAGUUGUUGCAGUUAAAAAGCUCGUAGUUGAAUUUCGGGAUCAGUUGGUCGGUCGUGCCUCGGUACGUACUGGUCAAAUUGAUUCCUACCUUCUGACGAACCACGAUGUCAUUAAUUUGGUGUCGUGGGGAAUCAGGACUGUUACUUUGAAAAAAUUAGAGUGUUUAAAGCAGGCUCGCGCUUGAAUACAUUAGCAUGGAAUAAUGAAAUAGGACGUUUGAUUCUAUUUUGUUGGUUUCUAGGAUCGACGUAAUGAUUAAUAGGGAUAGUUGGGGGCAUUAGUAUUCAAUUGUCAGAGGUGAAAUUCUUGGAUUUAUUGAAGACUAACUACUGCGAAAGCAUUUGCCAAGGAUGUUUUCAUUAAUCAAGAACGAAAGUUAGGGGAUCGAAGACGAACAGAUACCGUCGUAGUCUUAACCAUAAACUAUGCCGACUAGGGAUCGGAUGAUGUUAAUUUUUAAUGACUCAUUCGGCGCCUUACG